rnacentral:misc_RNA from 1 species
GAUGAAGAACGUAGCGAAAUACGAUAAGUAAUGUGAAUUGCAGAAUUCAGUGAAUCAUCGAAUCUUUGAACGCACAUUGCGCCCGCCAGUAUUCUGGCGGGCAUGCCUGUUCGAGCGUCAUUUCAACCCUCAAGACCCCUUCGGGGGACUUGGUGUUGGGGACCGGCACAGGGGCCUGCCUGCUUGUCUUGCAGCGCCCUCGCCGCCCCCGAAAUGAAUUGGCGGCCUCGUCGCGGCCUCCCCUGCGUAGUAGCACAAACCUCGCAACGGGAACGUGACGGCGGCCACUGCCGUAAAACAACCCAAUUUUAUUAGAGUUGACCUCGAAUCAGGUAGGAAUACCCGCUGAACUUAAGCAUAUCAAUAAGCGGAGGA